rnacentral:rRNA from 1 species
UUGCACGCUGGCGGCAUGCCUUACACAUGCCAGUCGAACGGCAGCACGGGUGCUUGCCCCUGGUGGCGAGUGGCGAACGGGUGAGUAAUACAUCGGAACAUGUCCUGUAGUGGGGGAUAGCCCGGCGAAAGCCGGAUUAAUACCGCAUACGAUCUACGGAUGAAAGCGGGGGACCUUCGGGCCUCGCGCUAUAGGGUUGGCCGAUGGCUGAUUAGCUAGUUGGUGGGGUAAAGGCCUACCAAGGCGACGAUCAGUAGCUGGUCUGAGAGGACGACCAGCCACACUGGGACUGAGACACGGCCCAGACUCCUACGGGAGGCAGCAGUGGGGAAUUUUGGACAAUGGGCGAAAGCCUGAUCCAGCAAUGCCGCGUGUGUGAAGAAGGCCUUCGGGUUGUAAAGCACUUUUGUCCGGAAAGAAAUCCUUGGCUCUAAUACAGUCGGGGGAUGACGGUACCGGAAGAAUAAGCACCGGCUAACUACGUG